UUGUGGAGGAGGACGCCGAAGGUGGGGCUAAUGACUGGGGUGAAGUCGUAACAAGGUAGCCGUACCGGAAGGUGCGGCUGGAUCACCUCCUAACAGGGAGACAACAAAAUGUUUAAUAUUAUUAUUUUGUCACCUUAGGUCGAUCGGUAUCUCACGUUUUUAAUUUAUUAAGAAUUUCAUUUCCUAAGUUUUUCUAGGUCACACCCAUUAUUUUCCUGGGCCAUUAGCUCAGGUGGUUAGAGCGCACCCCUGAUAAGGGUGAGGUCCCUGGUUCAAGUCCAGGAUGGCCCAUAUCUCUAUGUUGGGGGUAUAGCUCAGUUGGUAGAGCGCCUGCUUUGCAAGCAGGAUGUCAGCGGUUCGAGUCCGCUUACCUCCACUGAUUACCACCUCUUCCAUAAUCUAUAGAAAGGAAAAUUUUUGAGUUGUGAACCAAAUUCUGAACGAAUCUAGCUUCCUAAUGAACUCAUUAAGAUGCUGGACUCAUUGAAUUAAUUUCAUUGUUUUCAGAGAACCUUGACAACUGCAUAGAUUAUUUUUAAAGACAAUAAGCAUCUUUAAUGAUGCAGAUUUAUUAUUUUUGCAAAUGCAUUAAUAACAAUUCUAUUAAGCUGAUGCUUCAAUUAUGAAGUUAUUGGUCAAGCUACAA
rnacentral:misc_RNA from 1 species